rnacentral:rRNA from 1 species
ACUCCUACGGGAGGCAGCAGUGGGGAAUAUUGCACAAUGGGGGAAACCCUGAUGCAGCCAUGCCGCGUGUGUGAAGAAGGCCUUCGGGUUGUAAAGCACUUUCAGUAGGGAGGAAGGUAGUGUAGUUAACACCUGCAUUAUUUGACGUUACCUACAGAAGAAGCACCGGCUAACUCCGUGCCAGCAGCCGCGGUAAUACGGAGGGUGCGAGCGUUAAUCGGAAUUACUGGGCGUAAAGCGCAUGCAGGCGGCCUGUUAAGUCAGAUGUGAAAGCCCGGGGCUUAACCUCGGAAUUGCAUUUGAAACUGGCAGGCUAGAGUCUUGUAGAGGGGGGUAGAAUUUCAGGUGUAGCGGUGAAAUGCGUAGAGAUCUGAAGGAUACCAGUGGCGAAGGCGGCCCCCUGGACAAAGACUAACGCUCAGAUGCGAAAGCGUGGGGAGCAAACAGGAUUAGAUACCCUGGUAGGAUAGCC